rnacentral:rRNA from 1 species
UACGGGGGGUGCGAGCGUUGUCCGGAAUCACUGGGCGUAAAGGGCGCGUAGGUGGUCUGAUAAGGGUGUGGUGAAAGCCCGGGGCUCAACCCCGGGUCGGCCGUGCCGACUGUUAGACUAGAGUGCUGUAGGGGCAGGCGGAAUUCCGGGUGUAGCGGUGAAAUGCGUAGAUAGUCCGGAGGAACACCGGUGGCGAAGGCGGCUUCUGGACCGACACUGACGCUGAGGCGCGAAAGCUAGGGGAGCAAACGGG